rnacentral:rRNA from 1 species
CAGCGGCGGACGGGUGAGUAACACGUGGGUAACCUGCCUGUAAGACUGGGAUAACUCCGGGAAACCGGGGCUAAUACCGGAUGCUUGAUUGAACCGCAUGGUUCAAUCAUAAAAGGUGGCUUUUAACUACCACUUACAGAUGGGCCCGCGGCGCAUUAACUAGUUGGUGAGGUAACGGCUCACCAAGGCGACGAUGCGUAGCCGACCUGAGAGGGUGAUCGGCCACACUGGGACUGAGACACGGCCCAAACUCCUACGGGAGGCAGCAGUAGGGAAUCUUCCGCAAUGGACGAAAGUCUGACGGAGCAACGCCGCGUGAGUGAUGAAGGUUUUCGGAUCGUAAAACUCUGUUGUUAGGGAAGAACAAGUACCGUUCGAAUAGGGCGGUACCUUGACCGUACCUAACCAGAAAGCCACGGCUAACUACGUGCCAGCAGCCGCGGUAAUACGUAGGUGGCAAGCGUUGUCCGGAAUUAUUGGGCGUAAAGCGCGCGCAGGCGGUUUCUUAAGUCUGAUGUGAAAGCCCCCGGCUCAACCGGGGAGGGUCAUUGGAAACUGGGGAACUUGAGUGGCAGAAGAGGAGAGUGGAAUUCCACGUGUAGCGGUGAAAUGCGUAGAGAU